rnacentral:SRP_RNA from 1 species
UCGUGCUAUGCGGGGGGCUGGCGGUCCCCUGUGACCCGAAAUCCGCCAAUGCGGGGCAGAGAGGAACCAUGAGUUCGGUCCGGUGCGAGUCCAGUGGGAAAUGUCCCCGGGUGUUGAAAGCCGGGUCCGGUGAUGGUCGCCACCGUGAACCCCGCCAGGACCGGAAGGUAGCAACGGUAAACGGACCGGCGGUCAGUCACCGGGACACCUGGCUGGAGCCUGAGGCUUUCCAACCCUCUCACCGGCUGCGCGAAGGUUCCGGCACGA